rnacentral:rRNA from 1 species
GACGAACGCUGGCGGCGUGCUUAACACAUGCAAGUCGAACGGAAAGUGCUCUUCGGAGUGACUCGAGUGGCGAACGGGUGAGUAACACGUGGGUGAUCUGCCCUGCACUUUGGGAUAAGCCUGGGAAACUGGGUCUAAUACCGAAUAGGACCACGCGCUUCAUGGUGUGUGGUGGAAAGCUUUUGCGGUGUGGGAUGGGCCCGCGGCCUAUCAGCGUGUUGGUGGGGGAAUGGCCUACCAAGGCGACGACGGGUAGCGGGCCUGAGAGGGUGACCGGCCACGAUGGGAAUGAGAUACGGCCCAGACUCCUACGGGAGGCAGCAGUGGGGAAUAUUGCACAAUGGGCGCAAGCCUGAUGCAGCGACGCCGCGUGAGGGAUGACGGCCUUCGGGUUGUAAACCUCUUUCAGUAGGGACGAAGCGCAAGUGACGGUACCUAUAGAAGAAGGACCGGCCAACUACGUGCCAGCCGCCGCGGUAA